GGGGGCGCACUGGUUUCGACCGGUUUCCGUCUGCUCCGGGCUGCGCGCCGGGGGUUCCGAGGCAACCCCGUCAAUCCUCUCGGAACCGGCAACUUCAAUUGCCAACAACUAUGCACUUGCCGCCUAGUCAAUAGGCAGCCGUUCUCCGUGGGACUGCCCGCGGCCCACGGAGAACGCCAACAGCGGGCUGGCCGACGCCGCAAUGCACCCCGGCGGCCCGGCGAGACACAGGGGGAGCUGGCCUGACGUGAGCCCGUCCUCGGGCGCGCGCCGGGCGAGAACCAAACCGAGGACUACGCGCGUAGAGGUCCGCCGCCAGCCGAUUCCGGGACGCGGGUUCGAUUCCCGCCGCCUCCACCA
rnacentral:tmRNA from 1 species